AUGAUGUAAAGGGGUUUAGGGAGGCUUAUCAAGACGAUUUCUCUGAUUCAUUCCAUAGAAUUUUCUCUCAGAUCUUUGAACAUGAGAAUGUAACCUCUGCAACUGAUAUAUAGGUGGAACUAUCACUCUCUUUUUCUGAAGCUGCAAAAGGAUGCACAAAACAUCUCUCUUUUGAUGCACAUGUUCCCUACGAUUCUUGUUGAGAGUAAAACUGAACUCCUUUAACUUAGUACGAUUGUGUUUUGACUUUUAUGAGCAGAAGCAGAUCUACUGUAAACAACACCUGCUAAGAUGUUACAUUGGCCACUCCAAGGUCUGAAUGUUUGUAUGAUAAUGUUAAGCAAGCACACAAGCAACACACUGGGAAUAUGUAUUCCGGGAUCAUAUCGACGUCGAUGUUUUUUUGGAAGAGACCAUUGAAUUUGAUUCCCUUUAUUGACUCACCAUUGUUCAUUGCUAGAUUUAUUCCAGUAAUUAAGUAAAGAUCACUAGUUCACCAUUAGGUUGCCUAUUGUGUUUGUGUCUACUUUGUUGAUCCUUAUCAGCAUCAUUCUCAUGGCUAGUUUCAUGGCAUACUAGUAAGGUUUUAUCUCUUCAUUUGGAUAAUCAGUUCCAGCAAAUACAAUUGAUCUUAACCUA